UAAUACGGCCAUAUCAUGUUGAAAGCACUGGUUCUCGUCUGAUCACCGAAGUUAAGCAACAUCGAGCCUAGUUAGUACUUAGAUGGGUGACCGCUUGGGAAACCUAGGUGCUGUAAGCA
rnacentral:rRNA from 1 species